rnacentral:rRNA from 1 species
CAUCACUACGCUAGACUGCAUAUCAAUAAGCGGAGGAAAAGAAACUAACAAGGAUUCCCUUAGUAACGGCGAGUGAAGCGGGAAGAGCUCAAAUUUGAAAUCUUCAAGGUUUUACCUUGACGAAUUGUAGUUUAAAGAAGUGUUUUCUGUUGGAGUUUGGUAAAAGUUCUUUGGAAUAGGACAUCAUAGAGGGUGAGAAUCCCGUAUUUGACCAGUUACUUUCCAGCUGUGUGAUACACUUUCAAAGAGUCGGAUUGUUUGGGAAUGCAGUCCAAAAUGGGUGGUAAAUUUCAUCUAAAGCUAAAUAUUGGCGAGAGACCGAUAGCGAACAAGUACCGUGAGGGAAAGAUGAAAAGAACUUUGAAAAGAGAGGUUAAACAGUACGUGAAAUUGUCAAAAGGGAAGCGUUUGACACCAGUGUUGUUUUUCCGAAAAUCAAUUACGAAUGUUUUGUUUUUAAGAAGUUAUGACUUCAUCGGCUUGCUUCUUUCUUUACGAAACUUUCUUAAUGCACUUUUCGGUUAACAAGUCAACAUCAAUUUCUUUUGUUGUAAAAGGGUAAGAGGAAGGUGGCUUACGCUUCGGCGUAAGUGUUUAUAGCCUUUUACCUCUGCAAUCGGAGAGAUUGAGGACAGCAGCGUAGACUCUUCGGGGUUAGAUACACUUGUGCUAAGCUAUAGCCUUGUAUAGACAACUUGUUGACUAUGCUCAGUCAUGUAGCUUACUCGCUUGUGCUAUUUUACCUACGCUUAGGAUGUUGACACACGCGCGUGCUCG